rnacentral:rRNA from 1 species
AAUCAACGCUGGCGGCGUGCCUCAGACAUGCAAGUCGAACGAUUAAAGCUCUCUUCGGAGAGUGUAUAGAGUGGCGCACGGGUGAGUAACACGUAAGUAAUCUACCUUUGAGUGGGGAAUAACAGUCGGAAACGACUGCUAAUACCGCAUAAUGCAGCGGCAUCGCAAGAUGACAGUUGUUAAAGGAGCAAUCCGCUUAAAGAGGAGCUUGCGGCAGAUUAGCUAGUUGGUAAGGUAAUGGCUUACCAAGGCUACGAUCUGUAUCCGGUCUAAGAGGACGGUCGGACACACUGACACUGAAUAACGGGUCAGACUCCUACGGAGGCAGCAGUCGGGAAUUUUGGGCAAUGGGCGAAAGCCUGACCCAGCAACGCCGCGUGAAGGAUGAAGUAUUUCGGUAUGUAAACUUCGAAAGAAUGGGAAGAAUAAAUGACGGUACCAUUUAUAAGGUCCGGCUAACUACGUGCCAG